rnacentral:piRNA from 1 species
UCUUUGAAUAAGUAGUAAGCUAAUGCGGGUC